rnacentral:rRNA from 2 species
ACGGAAGGCAGCAGUGGGGAAUAUUGCACAAUGGGCGAAAGCCUGAUGCAGCAACGCCGCGUGAGUGAUGACGGCCUUCGGGUUGUAAAACUCUGUCUUCAGGGACGAUAAUGACGGUACCUGAGGAGGAAGCCACGGCUAACUACGUGCCAGCAGCCGCGGUAAUACGUAGGUGGCAAGCGUUGUCCGGAUUUACUGGGCGUAAAGGGAGCGUAGGCGGAUGUUUAAGUGGGAUGUGAAAUACUCGGGCUCAACUUGAGUGCUGCAUUCCAAACUGGAUAUCUAGAGUGCAGGAGAGGAAAGGAGAAUUCCUAGUGUAGCGGUGAAAUGCGUAGAGAUUAGGAAGAAUACCAGUGGCGAAGGCGCCUUUCUGGACUGUAACUGACGCUGAGGCUCGAAAGCGUGGGGAGCAAACAGGAUUAGAUACCCUGGUA